UACGGAGGGUGCGAGCGUUGUUCGGAAUUACUGGGCGUAAAGCGCGCGUAGGCGGUUUGCUAAGUCAGAUGUGAAAGCCCUCGGCUCAACCGGGGACGUGCAUUUGAAACUGGCAGACUUGAGUACUGGAGGGGGUGGUGGAAUUCCCGGUGUAGAGGUGAAAUUCGUAGAUAUCGGGAGGAAUACCGGUGGCGAAGGCGACCACCUGGCCAGAUACUGACGCUGAGGUGCGAAAGCGUGGGGAG
rnacentral:rRNA from 1 species